UUCUUGGUAGCUUAAAUUAGGUAAAGCGUAUGGCUGUUAACCAUUAGAUUAUAGGUUCAAAUCCUAUCCAAGAAG
rnacentral:tRNA from 1 species